rnacentral:snRNA from 1 species
GGUUCUGAGGGUAUUCUAACUACAACAUCUGCUACAUUGGUCACAGAUGAUUUGGCUGAUCUAGCUGGCUACUUGAAUGUCCCCCUCCACCUGAGCCACUCCAUAUGUGUCCCUUCCAGAGCUACACUCUCCAGCACUGCCCUCCCCAAUAGAGGAGGACCAUUCUUUGGUGAAGGGUGUGCAAGUAGCUGUGCUCCCCCCUCAAGACCAGGUCACCAACUCGGAUACCUGAUAUUGGGGCCCUGUUUUGUGUGUGGUUUCAUGUUAGGAUGGAGGGAAUGGAAUGGUGACCUCCAGGCUAAGUAAGGGUCUUAACUUGCUUAUGUUA